UUCUUUUCUAUUCAGAGAGAUGCCAUGAUUUAGAAGGUGGUUUUUCCAGGGUGAACCUCCUCCAUUGUACUCUUUGUAUGCUGACUCCUGUGAUUUUCCCAGAUGCAGGAAAUCCGACUGCAUAAUUUGUGAUAGGGGGAGACAAUGCUCACAAUUUCCUG